AGUGAACGCUGGCGGUAGGCCUAACACAUGCAAGUCGAACGGCAGCACAGUAAGAGCUUGCUCUUACGGGUGGCGAGUGGCGGACGGGUGAGGAAUACAUCGGAAUCUACUUUUUCGUGGGGGAUAACGUAGGGAAACUUACGCUAAUACCGCAUACGACCUACGGGUGAAAGCAGGGGAUCUUCGGACCUUGCGCGAUUGAAUGAGCCGAUGUCGGAUUAGCUAGUUGGCGGGGUAAAGGCCCACCAAGGCGACGAUCCGUAGCUGGUCUGAGAGGAUGAUCAGCCACACUGGAACUGAGACAAGGUCGAGACUCCUACGGGAGGCAGCAGUGGGGAAUAUUGGACAAUGGGCGCAAGCCUGAUCCAGCCAUACCGCGUGGGUGAAGAAGGCCUUCGGGUUGUAAAGCCCUUUUGUUGGGAAAGAAAAGCAGCAGGUUAAUACCCCGCUGUUCUGACGGUACCCAAAGAAUAAGCACCGGCUAACUUCGUG
rnacentral:rRNA from 1 species